UACGUGGGGUGCAAGCGUUGUUCGGAAUUACUGGGCGUAAAGCGCGUGUAGGCGGUUUGUUAUGUCAGGUGUGAAAGCCCUCGGCCCAACUGAGGAAGUGCGCCUGAAACUGGCAGACUUGAGUACGAGAGAGGAGGACGGAAUUCCCAGUGUAGAGGUGAAAUUCGUAGAUAUUGGGAGGAACACCGGCGGCGAAAGCGGUCCUCUGGAUCGAUACUGACGCUAAGACGCGAAAGCGUGGGGAGCAAAC
rnacentral:rRNA from 1 species